AGAUUUUUAUAUAUCUCAAAAACCAGUUUAAAUUUAUAACUUCAAAAUUCAACUAAUUUAUCAUGGCUGGAACUGGAUCUGAAAAUACAAAGGAAUGGAAAGUCCUGUUUGUUUGCCUUGGAAAUAUUUGCAGGUCACCAAUAGCUGAAGCUGUAUUUAAAAAAGAAGCCUUGGCUGCUGGAUUGAAAGUUUACGUAGAUUCAGCUGGCAUAAUUGACUAUCACCAUGGGAAGACACCUGACUCCCGUGCUCAACAGACCAUGAAGAAACACGACGUGCCCAUGGAUCACAGAGCCAGGCAGAUAAAGAAAGAGGACUUCACAAAAUUUGACUUCAUUUUCGGCAAAGAUGAGGAGAACAUGGAUGAUCUAAAACGCAUGAAGCCUGCCAACAGCACUGCAACAGUCGAACUUUUUGGCAAAUAUCACACCAAGAAAAACCUCAUCAUCAGAGACCCAUACUAUGACGAGGGCAGUGAAGGCUUCGAGGAAUGUUACCAGCAGUGCGUUGUUUGCUCUCGAGGCUUCAUAGCACAUCUCAAGUCCUUGAAAUAAUUUUGAAAUCUAACUUUCAUUAUUCAUUCGGAUUCCAUUUUCGUCCAUAUUUACGUGUUACUUCAGUGUUCGUCGGAAUGUCCAGCAUUUAUAAUAUUCUACAUCUCAGUCUGCCGUGACAAACCGCGGCGAUAUACAUAGUUUAAGUUUGUUCCACUUCUUAUAUAAUUUAGAUUUUACUUAACAGAUCUUAUUUGAUAAGUUGUCUUCCUAAAAGAAUCUACUUUGAGACUACAGAUUUGUGCCGCUAUGUAACUUUACCUUCACAACAAAAAUGUUGCGAGUGAAAUCGGUCAUUGAGCAUAGAAAUGAAAAACCGAAAAUAUAAGAUGUUAGCUCGAGGCAAUGAGAUUAAUUUGGUACGCAUCAAGUUCGUUUUUCAGUGUAAUAAAACACAGUGAAAUUGAUAAUUCUCAUUUCAAGCAUCUUUUUCUAUUUCAGAGUACGAAGUGGCUCAAUCUGUUAGGUUUUUCAUAAUUCUGUUUUGUUAUCCGUCCUUUCAAUAAGAAACAUGAUUUUUUAGACGAAUGAAGAUCUUCGAAAGGAGCAUAAUUAUCACCUGUAAUUAAGAGCGUAUAUAAUUUAUAACAAAAUUAUAGAUGGAAAAUUGCUUAGUUUCCGUUUCUGUUCGUAUGCCUGAAUUAAAACGAAAGGAUACAAUGUAGUGUAUUUAGGUUGCUUUCUCCAAAUCGUUAAUGCGAUGAGCGACAUUAGAAAAAUUCUUUGCGGUAAUACCUGCUAUAUUUCUGGGCGAUUUCCUGCUAUAUUUCUUUUACGUUUUGAUUGUUUUAAAUCACGUUAAAUAAACUGAAAAUUUAA
rnacentral:misc_RNA from 1 species